rnacentral:rRNA from 1 species
UACGGAGGGUGCAAGCGUUAUCCGGAUUCACUGGGUUUAAAGGGUGCGUAGGUGGGCUAGUAAGUCCGUGGUGAAAUCCCCAAGCUUAACUUGGGAACUGCCGUGGAUACUAUCAGUCUUGAAUACUGUGGAGGUAAGCGGAAUAUGUCAUGUAGCGGUGAAAUGCUUAGAUAUGACAUAGAACACCGAUAGCGAAGGCAGCUUGCUACACAGUCAUUGACACUGAGGCACGAAAGCGUGGGGAGCAAACAGG